rnacentral:piRNA from 1 species
UUACUUCUCGUUUGGAAUGGA